AUACAUAACUACACAUCUUGUCACUCAGGCACAGGGUGUGAAAAACCUCCACAUUUCUCAUGAAAACUCUUAUCAACAAGUAGCAAGUAACCUAUUAACCAGCUAACCUUAGGUCUCUCCGUCGAUCCGAAGCAAGGAUGGUUCUGUACUAUGUACCGGAUUGUAACCGCUAACGUUACUCCGAUAAGCACACGUGCAUUUUUCUGUUUUCCGAUCUCUGUAAGCGAGAGGCGUCGCUGGAGCCGUGUGAUAAGAUGGGCAUACUGGAAACCCAGUGACAGCACUCAGGUCUGAAGCUUCCAUUUUCUGUUGGGAAAGAGAAAUGGCCCUGUAUUUAACAGAAAAUAGGUAGCUCAUCUAACAUGGCAGAAGAGGAAGAUCCAGACUGUUGAGAGACCACUUGUCACAUUGUCCAAGUCCAACGGGAGUGAAUCCCUCAGGCCAUCCAGUGCAUAGACAUCAUGUGCCAGUGUGAUCUGAGCGCGAGCGRCCAGUUGCGGAGACUACAGCCCAUCGAGCCUGUUGAUGGACAGAUGUUACAUGCCGAACAUCAGGUUCACCCCACCAGAAGCAGUGUAUGAUCAAUGCCACCCUUAGCAAGGUGAUCUGCUGGAAGUUACGUACUCUCUCUCACUCUGGGGGUACAAGCAGGAUGACUGGGGCCUUCAGCAAGUACUGACAGGAAGAGCAAUAUGAGUCUGUCAGWGGUCAUCACGUUGGAUGGUGAUGGAGGCUUUGGUGGUCCACCAAACAAAGAAGCAGGUGUCCCUUCCAGUGAUGUGGAGCUGACCUAGUGCACAUCCAUCUCUUUAGCCCAGCGUUUCUCAAACUCUGUCCCGGGGACCCCGUGGGGUACAUGUUUAGUUUUUUGCCCUAGCACUACACAGCUGAUUUAAACUCAUCAAAGCUUGGUGAUUAGUUGAUUAUUUGAAUCAGCUGUGUAGUGCUCGGGCAAAAACCAAAACAUGCACCACUUGGGGUCCCCAGGACUGAACUUGGGAAAGCCUGCUGUAGCCAUUUUGAAUGCCUUGAUGCCCUCCUCUUCGUUAUCUGUGCCCCACUUUACAGACGACACCCCAUCCAACGACUGAUCUGAGGACCCUUUUAGCAGCGACUGAGUCACGCGCUUGGCCUUAACCACUGCUCUGUAAUUGCUGGCCGUCAACCUCCCUCUUCUCAUGGUGUGCCAGUUGGGGUUGGUGUGGUGUCCAACUGUUGCCUGCCGGCCAGGAUGCCUGCAUGCCCKAGGUGCCCUUGUUUUUAUAACAAUGUCCGGUUCAGACAGGGAUGACAGGGAGYGUAGCGGUUGUUCUGGCUCAGGUUCAAGGAGACUUGCCAUUCCACUGUACCUGCCCCAGAGACGGUUCCUUAGCCACUGAAGAUCCUCCUCUGUGGGCUCUCGGGACAGAGGGUUGUAGUCUUCAGCCGGGUACAGGUCCUCCGCUAACUGCACCUGGUUGGGCUUCCUCCACUCGAAUUCCACAUCUGUACGGCAGAUAUUGUGAACUGCCAAAAUAGGCUGCAUGGCUCCACUGAUGAGCUCCACGGAGGCAUUUGCAUGUGUUAGAGAGAAUCCCCUGGUCACCUAUAGAGACCUGCCAACCGGAAGUUGUCACCUAUAGAGACCUGCCAACAGGAAGGAGGUUAAGUGACACAUGCCUUUCAGUUCAUGAAACUUUGAACACCUUGAAAUGCAUUUGUUGUAAGAAAUGUGCUGUAUACUGUAAAUAAAGUUUGAUUUGAUUGAUGACAUUACAGCUUUAGAAUAUUUAAUAAUAUACAUUUUCACAUGAAGACAAGUGCAGUUUURCCAUAAACUUUUAAUUGAUAACGUGGGAUUUUAUCACUUGCCAUAUCAAUCAUACAGUGGGAAGGAUCCUAUAAAUCAAGACUGUGUGAAUGCAUGUACCAAUCCAAAUAAUAAAAAGUACUGUGCCUUUGAAAA